CCGGGGUAUUCUGUCAGCUGGGAAUCCGCGGACACGAAGACCCAGGCGUUGAGGCUCACUAAGGUGCAAUCCGUGAAUCUCCUGUCCCAGACAACCGGGAUCCGAGACAGAAUCUAGACCAUUCGGCUCCUCAAGCCCCAGACCCCGGAUCUCACCUGAGGACGUGAGCCAGUGAUGGGCUGGGACGAGGCCGGGUCCCAGCACCUGGGACUGUGGGUCUUGAUGAUGCUGGGGGUCCUUUUCCCGGAAGCCUGCCAGGCACACCCUAUCCCUGACUCCAGCCCCCUCCUCCAAUUCGGGGGCCAAGUUCGACAGCGGUUCCUCUACACGGACGACGCCCAGGAGACAGAGGUCCACCUCGAGAUCAAGGCUGAUGGCACAGUGGUGGGGACCGCUCGCCGGAGCCCUGAGAGUGAGUGCAUAGACAGAGCCUGGUCUGAGGGAGCAGGGGCUGGGGGGCCCAGACCCCUGGGUCUGAGAGAGACGGGCCUGGGCAGAGGUCCUCUGAGCCCCUGACCACUCUCUCCUCUCAGGUCUCUUGGAGCUAAAAGCCCUGAAGCCGGGAGUAAUUCAAAUCUUGGGGGUCAAAACGUCCAGGUUCCUGUGCCAGGGCCCAGAUGGGACACUGUAUGGAUCGGUGAGUUUCUGGGAUCGCCCCCCCCUCCUCGUACUCCCCCCUCCGUAUCACCUUCACCACCCAGGGUUCCACCUCUCGCACCUUGGGCCUGAGCCGGGCUUGGUUCUGUGCUCCCUGCGUGGCCCCCCCCGCCUCGCCACCUCCCCUGCACGCGGGAGCUGACCUCAUCAUUUGUGCACAAGGGGAAACUGAGGCUCGGGCAGGGACACACCAGCUCCGAGUCACGAGGCCCGUGAAGGACGGAGCGCCUGAGUCCUGUGACCUGUGACCCCUGCUGGGCCGCAUGGGCUCCUAGCUGCCUGCUUCACGCCGGGCACAGGGCUGCUCAGGGGACCCAUGGCCUGUAAAGUGACCAUGACCCCUUGGGUGGAAGCCAGACGCCUCCGUCUGGACUCAGAGAGCCUUGACUGGUCCCCGGGCUGGAAUAUUGGUCUCUGUGAAGUGAAGCCAGGGAGGUAGGCCUUGCAGGACUGCCCAGGGGUAAAGGGAGAGCCUGCUUCUGUUGCCUGUGUCCCGGAGGAGGGGCUGGGGGCCGGGACUCCUGGGUCCUGCAGCAGGAAGGUGCAGAGGAAUCCCGUAUCUCCGACGUCCGCUCUUGUCCCCUCAGCUCCGCUUUGACCCCGCAGCCUGCAGCUUCCGGGAACUGCUUCUGGAGGACGGAUACAACAUCUACCACUCGGAGACCCUCGGGCUCCCACUCCGCCUGCCCCCCCACAACUCCCCAUACCGG
rnacentral:lncRNA from 1 species